GAAGGGCUAAGAGAAAUUUACAACAUGGCUGCCCACUCGAGCAAGCAGACCCAUAAAUGGACAGCUGAGGAAACCCGAAGGCUCAUACGUUUUCGAGGUGAAAACGAACAUCUGUUUUUAAAGUCCAAAUACGGCGCAAAAAAACUUUGGGAGUGAGUAAUCUUUACAUGCUACGAUGCUGACGGCGACAUCUUGGAAUUUGUGAUAAACAUCGGCGCAUGUCCUCUGACGUAACGUUAGGAGGUAGUGACAAUGGAUGAUGACGUAUAACAGUGUAGUAGUGGUGUCCCAUUUCUUAGGGGAAAU